AUGUCAACAGUUGAUGCAUCAGAUGGACGCCAAGUGAUUGAUAUUAUACCUCCCGGACCAGUACUUCUUGUUUCAGAGGGGGAAUCCAUUAAGCUUGAUCAACCAUUAACAAGCAAUCCUAAUGUGGGAGGUUUUGGUCAGGUGGACGCAAAAAUCGUGCUUCAGGAUCCAUUACGUGUCCAAGGCCUUUUUUUCUUCUCCGCAUCCGUUAUUUUGGCACAAGUUUUUUUUGGUUCUAAAAAAGAAACAGUUUGA
rnacentral:rRNA from 1 species